rnacentral:rRNA from 1 species
CACGUAGUUAGCCGGCGCUUCUUCUGCAGGUACCGUCACUCUCGCUUCUUCCCUGCUGAAAGAGGUUUACAACCCGAAGGCCGUCAUCCCCCACGCGGCGUCGCUGCAUCAGGCUUCCGCCCAUUGUGCAAUAUUCCCCACUGCUGCCUCCCGUAGGAGUCUGGGCCGUGUCUCAGUCCCAGUGUGGCCGGUCGCCCUCUCAGGCCGGCUACCCGUCAUCGCCUUGGUGAGCCAUUACCUCACCAACAAACUGAUAGGCCGCGAGUCCAUCCCCCACCGAAAAACUUUCCACAACACACCAUGCGGCGCGAAGUCAUAUCCGGUAUUAGCCCCGAUUUCCCGAGGUUAUCCCGAAGAGGGGGCAGGUUACUCACGUGUUACUCACCCGUUCGCCACUAAUCAGACAAGGCAAGCCCUGUCGUCAUCGUUCGACUUGCAUGUGUUAAGCACGCCGCCAGCGUCGUCUGAGCAGAUCAACUACU